GUCCACGCCGUAAACGAUGUCUACUAGCCGUUGGGAGACUAGAUCUUUUAGUGGCGCAGCUAACGCGAUAAGUAGACCGCCUGGGGAGUACGGUCGCAAGACUAAAACUCAAAUGAAUUGACGGGGGCCCGCACAAGCGGUGGAGCAUGUGGUUUAAUUCGAUGCAACGCGAAGAACCUUACCUGGUCUUGACAUCCUGCGAAGCUUUCAGAGAUGAGAGUGUGCCUUCGGGAGCGCAGAGACAGGUGCUGCAUGGCUGUCGU
rnacentral:rRNA from 1 species